UUAGGUUGUUUUCGGAAGAACAAGACACUCAUUUGCGCAUGCUUAGCUGUUAUUAAAUAUAUAUGAAUAUUUAGUAUGAGUAUUUGAAACAUAUCCAUUUGAAAGAAACGUUUAGACUUUGAUUUCUAGCUGCUGUUUUUCAUCUCUUGGACGGAGAAAAAUGAAGACAAUGUGCAUUUAUUAUUCUUUGAACGUACUUUAAACCUACAUUUUGCUUACGUUAAUUCAUAUUAAGCUUUCCUUUACAAUUUUGUAGCGUGCAUUUCCUGGAUGUUUGGAGCUCAAACACGAACUGGCCAAUAGGAGAGCGCGCGUGUGCUGCCACGUGCGCGUGAUGAGAAUGUAAACACACUUGUUUGGCUCUGAGGCACGUGAACGCGAGCACUGAAGUACUCGACAUUUCAUACUUCCGUUUUAUUUUCUAAGUUACAUUUUAUACACUCUCGCAUCCAGGCCAGUAAAAAAGCUAACAAAGCUAUUAAGUUAUCAAUUAUGACCAAAACUUGUGCGGAGGAUUCUUGUUGUCCUGAGGACAUACACAUGUAGAGUGAAACAGCAGUACUGAAUACAGCCUUCAUCCACCUCAUGAAGGAUGAAAACCUUAAAGAUCAUAACCAUCAUACAAACUAUUGCAAGAUUCUCUUGGUCUGCCAAUUUGCACCAGUCCAAAACCAACCUCAGCCCCAGCAACCAAAGGUGAUGCUGAAUCUGUGAAUCCAAAUGGAUUCUUCCCGUCUCCAGAGCUACUGAGGUGUUUCGUUCUGGGGUUCUUUCUUUUGAUUGCAGUCAUCACAAAUAUCCUCUUGUGUGAUCAUGAUAAAAGAAGAAAGCUGUUAGAGACAUGAACCUGCAGACCUCAGGUGAAGGAAAAUAACUAUGCUUUCCAUCUUGUCAUGGUCAAAAACAACAGCAGUGAUGCUGAGGUUCCUGUAUCUCCUCAGCAUAUCUGAGCGCAGAGGAGCGUUGAGAGUGCAUCGUAUGACACAGACUAUGAGCAACAUGACAUCAGUCCGGAAACAGCUUUUCCUUUAUCCACUUCUCAUAAUUAGUCAUCGUUAAGUGUUAUGGACAACAUUGAGAAAGCAGGAGAGACCUGGGAUAGUUGUAACGUGGGGUCAGCUGUUAUUAUGUUUAACCACACAGAAAUUAGGUACAGAGAUGAAAUUGCUAGCAGCGUUGGGGGAAAUUAUUUUCAAAAAUUGUUUAAUGGUAACACUUUAUAGUAACUUUCAUUUAAUCUAUAACUUUCAGUUAAUAUAUAUUGACAUAGGUAGAAAUAUGAGAUAAUGUUCUUAUUAAUGUUUACUAAUGAACGUACUUAACAUUACCUAAUGAUUAACAUAUGAUUAUUUAAUGUAAAUUGAAAUGCUCUCAAAUGUCAGUAAACGUUCAAUUCAUAUGAUCUUCA